rnacentral:rRNA from 1 species
UACGUAGGGGGCAAGCGUUAUCCGGAUUUACUGGGUGUAAAGGGAGCGUAGACGGCUGUGCAAGCCAGAUGUGAAAGCCCGGGGCUCAACCCCGGGGCUGCAUUUGGAACUGCGUGGCUUGAGUGUCGGAGAGGCAGGCGGAAUUCCUAGUGUAGCGGUGAAAUGCGUAGAUAUUAGGAGGAACACCAGUGGCGAAGGCGGCCUGCUGGACGAUGACUGACGUUGAGGCUCGAAAGCGUGGGGAGCAAACAGG